GACGAACGCUGGCGGCGUGCCUAAUACAUGCAAGUUGAGCGCUGAAGGUUGGUACUUGUACCGACUGGAUGAGCAGCGCACGGGUGAGUAACGCGUGGGGAAUCUGCCUUUGAGCGGGGGACAACAUUUGGAAACGAAUGCUAAUACCGCAUAAAAACUUUAAACACAAGUUUUAAGUUUGAAAGAUGCAAUUGCAUCACUCAAAGAUGAUCCCGCGUUGUAUUAGCUAGGUGGUGAGGUAAAGGCUCACCAAGGCGAUGAUACAUAGGCGACCUGAGAGGGUGAUCGGCCACCUUGGGAAUGAGACACGGCCCAAACCCCUAAGGGAGGCAGCAGUAGGGAAUCUUCGGCAAUGGACGAAAGUCUGACCGAGCAACGCCGCGUGAGUGAAGAAGGUUUUCGGAUCGUAAAACUCUGUUGGUAGGGAAGAACGUUGGUGAGAGUGGAAAGCUCAUCAAGUGACGGUAACUACCCAGAAAGGGACGGCUAACUACGUG
rnacentral:rRNA from 1 species